GGAUGGAUGGAAGAAGCGGGGGUAAUGGGUGGGAGGGGAGAGAAAUCUAAGAGGAUGGGCCCAACCUGGACAGGCUGCCAUGGAAAUGCCAACACAAAGAUUACCGUGUAAACCCACCCGUCACCCCACCUCUUUCAUCCACCUCAAAUCUUGCUGGGACUGAGCAAGAACGGAAGGACUCUCCUCAAAAUGAAUGUGACUUUUGAAUGAACUCAAGAAACAUCACCCUGCUUCACACUCCCUUUUAUGUGCAGGCAGAGAAGCAAGUCUCCCUGGAUUGCUUUUCCCCCGUACGCUUUGAUCUGGUCUGAUGGAUACAGACUGAAAGUGUUUAGAUGAAGAGGCUAGGAAGAUCUAAUGGACGACUGGUUUGGGUGUCUGUACAUUUCCUCGCAGAGUCCCAUUGGAGAGAUCACUGGUUUUAAAUGUAGGCUGUUAUUAAGUGCUGUCCCAGUUCAUUAUAAAAAAAUCCAGUGUUGAGGAAUGUAGAACACUAGAGGAAUUGACACAUUAUGCCUCCCAACCUUUCCUUAUAUAAUAAUGGCUCAUAGCUACAUGAUCUUGAGGACGAGAUAGGUUUUAUAAAUUAAUUUACUCUGUUGUAAGAGAUCAGUCCAUCAUAAAUGAUCUUGACAUAAAUGACACCUCCACCGAACUUGAACAUUUGAGGGGACGAAAUAUAGUGCCAUUUCCUCUCAGUAACCCUGCGAAGGAUUGUAAAAGGGUUUAAACAUGGUCACAAGGACAAAAUAUUUAUAUUUGUAAUGUACGUAGUAUGUGAGUACUAAAAAAAAACAUCUAUGGUUCAAUGCCUCCUUUGAUAUUUUUCUCAUUGAUCUUAAUCUUUUUUUUUUUUUAACUAAAGACGUUAAACAGAUGUAAUAAUGUUGAUUAUGUUGCAUAAGAUCUGUAACCUAUGUUUCCAGUUCUGUUUGUGUUGAUGCUUGUUUAACGCCAAUAUGUGUUGGUGUCGCUGUGCUCUUAUCCUAAAUAAUCUCUGUAUAAUGAACAUGCACCUAAUUAUACUGCAUUUAACUAA